UACGUAGGGUGCGAGCGUUAAUCGGAAUUACUGGGCGUAAAGCGUGCGCAGGCGGUUUUUUAAGUCAGAUGUGAAAUCCCCGGGCUUAACCUGGGAACUGCGUCCGAUACUGGCAGGCUUGAAUCCGGGAGAGGGAUGCGGAAUUCCAGGUGUAGCGGUGAAAUGCGUAGAUAUCUGGAGGAACACCGGUGGCGAAGGCGGCGUCCUGGACCGGUAUUGACGCUGAGGCGCGAAAGCUAGGGGAGCAAACGGG
rnacentral:rRNA from 1 species